rnacentral:rRNA from 1 species
UACGUAGGGGGCAAGCGUUGUCCGGAAUCAUUGGGCGUAAAGAGCGUGUAGGCGGAUUGUUAAGUCAGGGGUGAAAUCCUGGAGCUCAACUCCAGAACUACCUUUCUGAUACUGGCGAUCUCGAGUCCGGGAGAGGUGAGUGGAACUGCGAGUGUAGAGGUGAAAUUCGUAGAUAUUCGCAAGAACACCAGUGGCGAAGGCGGCUCACUGGCCCGGUACUGACGCUGAGGUGCGAAAGCGUGGGGAGCAAACAGGG